rnacentral:rRNA from 1 species
AAUGAACGCUGGCGGCGUGGAUAAGGCAUGCAAGUCGAACGCGAAACCUUCGGGGAGUAGAGUGGCGACCUGGAUAGUAAUACCUGGGUACUUGCCCGGAAGUGGGGAAUAACUUCGUGAAAGCGAAGCUAAUACCGCAUGUGGACGAAAGUCUAAAGGCUUCGGCCGCUUCCGGAUAGGCCCGGGCCCUAUUAGCUAGUUGGUGAGGUAAAGGCUCACCAAGGCGACGAUAGGUAGGGGUGUGAGAGCAUGGCCCCCAUCACGAGGACUGAGAUACGGCCUCGACCCCCACGGGGGGCAGCAGUCUAGAAGCUUCGGCAAUGAGGGAAACCUUGACCGAGCGACGCCGCGUGUGGGAUGAAGCAUCUUGGUGUGUAAACCACUUUCGAUAGGGAAGAACACAAUGACGGUACCUAUAGAAGAAGCACCGGCUAACUCCGUGCCAGCAGCCGCGGUAAU